AGAGUUUGAUCAUGGCUCAGAUUGAACGCUGGCGGCAGGCCUAACACAUGCAAGUCGAGCGGUAGCACAGAGAGCUUGCUCUCGGGUGACGAGCGGCGGACGGGUGAGUAAUGUCUGGGAAACUGCCUGAUGGAGGGGGAUAACUACUGGAAACGGUAGCUAAUACCGCAUAACGUCGCAAGACCAAAGUGGGGGACCUUCGGGCCUCAUGCCAUCAGAUGUGCCCAGAAGGGAUUAGCUAGUAGGUGGGGUAAUGGCUCACCUAGGCGACGAUCCCUAGCUGGUCUGAGAGGAUGACCAGCCACACUGGAACUGAGACACGGUCCAGACUCCUACGGGAGGCAGCAGUGGGGAAUAUUGCACAAUGGGCGCAAGCCUGAUGCAGCCAUGCCGCGUGUGUGAAGAAGGCCUUCGGGUUGUAAAGCACUUUCAGCGGGGAGGAAGGCGAUAAGGUUAAUAACCUUGUCGAUUGACGUUACCCGCAGAAGAAGCACCGGCUAACUCCGUGCCAGCAGCCGCGGUAAUACGGAGGGUGCAAGCGUUAAUCGGAAUUACUGGGCGUAAAGCGCACGCAGGCGGUCUGUCAAGUCGGAUGUGAAAUCCCCGGGCUCAACCUGGGAACUGCAUUCGAAACUGGCAGGCUAGAGUCUUGUAGAGGGGGGUAGAAUUCCAGGUGUAGCGGUGAAAUGCGUAGAGAUCUGGAGGAAUACCGGUGGCGAAGGCGGCCCCCUGGACAAAGACUGACGCUCAGGUGCGAAAGCGUGGGGAGCAAACAGGAUUAGAUACCCUGGUAGUCCACGCCGUAAACGAUGUCGAUUUGGAGGUUGUGCCCUUGAGGCGUGGCUUCCGGAGCUAACGCGUUAAAUCGACCGCCUGGGGAGUACGGCCGCAAGGUUAAAACUCAAAUGAAUUGACGGGGGCCCGCACAAGCGGUGGAGCAUGUGGUUUAAUUCGAUGCAACGCGAAGAACCUUACCUGGUCUUGACAUCCACAGAACUUUCCAGAGAUGGAUUGGUGCCUUCGGGAACUGUGAGACAGGUGCUGCAUGGCUGUCGUCAGCUCGUGUUGUGAAAUGUUGGGUUAAGUCCCGCAACGAGCGCAACCCUUAUCCUUUGUUGCCAGCGGUUAGGCCGGGAACUCAAAGGAGACUGCCAGUGAUAAACUGGAGGAAGGUGGGGAUGACGUCAAGUCAUCAUGGCCCUUACGACCAGGGCUACACACGUGCUACAAUGGCAUAUACAAAGAGAAGCGACCUCGCGAGAGCAAGCGGACCUCAUAAAGUAUGUCGUAGUCCGGAUUGGAGUCUGCAACUCGACUCCAUGAAGUCGGAAUCGCUAGUAAUCGUAGAUCAGAAUGCUACGGUGAAUACGUUCCCGGGCCUUGUACACACCGCCCGUCACACCAUGGGAGUGGGUUGCAAAAGAAGUAGGUAGCUUAACCUUCGGGAGGGCGCUUACCACUUUGUGAUUCAUGACUGGGGUGAAGUCGUAACAAGGUAACCGUAGGGGAACCUGCGGUUGGAUCACCU
rnacentral:rRNA from 1 species